CAUCCCUCUAGUGGUGUGGGGGCUGUGCUUUGGCAAAGUGGGUGGCGUUAUGGGUCCUACAGUAGGUCUAUGUUAUUGUUAGGUGAAGUUAUGGGUCCUGCAGUAGGUCUAUGUUGUUGUUAGGUGAAGUUAUGGGUCCUACAGUAGGUCUAUGUUGUUGUUAGGUGAAGUUAUGGGUCCUACAGUAGGUCUAUGUUAUUGUUAGGUGGAGUUAUGGGUCCUACAGUAGGUCUAUGUUGUUGUUAGGUGAAGUUAUGGGUCCUACAGUAGGUCUAUGUUGUUGUUGUUAGGUGAAGUUAUGGGUCCUACAGUAGGUCUAUGUUGUUGUUAGGUGAAGUUAUGGGUCCUACAUGUUAUUUUUUUUCACACUUACCUAUUGGUGUGUAGCCCUAACAUUCCAAGGCAUUUGUGGACAUUCUAUAGCAAUAGAGUGGGAAAGCUGCUGUGUGUUUGGAGAAUUAAUAGACUCUGCAGUAAAUACAACCUGAUAAAACAUCUCUCUCGUCUACACAUUCCGAUGCGCAAUAGCCAAUCAGAGCCACAGUAGACCUUAAAACAAACAAGCCAUUUGCACAUAGGCCUGCCAUCAUUUACUUAGAACUGGACUGUGUGUUUACAGGCAGUUGGGCCUGCCAUCAUUCACUUAGAACUGGACUGUGUGUUUACAGGCAGUUGGGCCUGACAUCAUUCACUUUGAACUGGACUGUGUGUUUACAGGCAGUUGGGCCUGACAUCAUUCACUUUGAACUGG
rnacentral:lncRNA from 1 species